rnacentral:rRNA from 1 species
GACGAACGCUGGCGGCGUGCUUAACACAUGCAAGUCGAACGGUGAAGCGCCUUCCUUUUUGGUGGGUGUGGAUGAGUGGCGAACGGGUGAGUAACACGUGAGUAACCUGCCCCCUUCUUCUGGAUAACCGCAUGAAAGUGUGGCUAAUACGGGAUAUUCUGGGUCUGUCGCAUGAUGGGUCUGGGAAAGAUAUUGUUUCGGUGGGGGAUGGGCUCGCGGCCUAUCAGCUUGUUGGUGGGGUGAUGGCCUACCAAGGCGGUGAGGGGUAGCCGGCCUGAGAGGGUGGACGGUCACACUGGGACUGAGACACGGCCCAGACUCCUACGGGAGGCAGCAGUGGGGAAUAGUGCACAAUGGGCGCAAGCCUGAUGCAGCGACGCCGCGUGAGGGAUGGAGGCCUUCGGGUUGUGAACCUCUUUCGCCAGUGAAGCAGGCCUGCCUCGUUUGUGGGUGGGUUGACGGUAGCUGGAUAAGAAGCGCCGGCUAACUACGUG